rnacentral:rRNA from 1 species
GAUGAACGCUGGCGGCGUGCCUAAUACAUGCAAGUAGAACGCUGAAGGAGGAGCUUGCUCUUCUGGAUGAGUUGCGAACGGGUGAGUAACGCGUAGGUAACCUGCCUGGUAGCGGGGGAUAACUAUUGGAAACGAUAGCUAAUACCGCAUGACAACAGUUAUUGCAUGAUAACUGUUUAAAAGGGGCAACUGCUCCACUACCAGAUGGACCUGCGUUGUAUUAGCUAGUUGGUGAGGUAACGGCUCACCAAGGCGACGAUACAUAGCCGACCUGAGAGGGGGAUCGGCCACACUGGGACGGAGACACGGCCCAGACUCCUACGGGAGGCAGCAGUAGGGAAUCUUCGGCAAUGGACGGAAGUCUGACCGAGCAACGCCGCGGGAGUGAAGAAGGUUUUCGGAUCGGAAAGCUCUGUUGUAAGAGAAGAACGAGUGUGAGAGUGGAAAGUUCACACUGUGACGGUAUCUUACCAGAAAGGGACGGCUAACUACGUG